UACGUGCCAGCAGCCGCGGUAAUACGUAGGGCGCAAGCUUUAUCCGGAAUUAUUGGGCGUAAAGAGCUUGUAGGCGGUUUGUCGCGUCUGCUGUGAAAACCCGAGGCUCAACCUCGGGCCUGCAGUGGGUACGGGCAGACUAGAGUGCGGUAGGGGAGAUUGGAAUUCCUGGUGUAGCGGUGGAAUGCGCAGAUAUCAGGAGGAACACCGAUGGCGAAGGCAGAUCUCUGGGCCGUAACUGACGCUGAGGAGCGAAAGGGUGGGGAGCAAACAGGCUUAGAUACCCUGGUAGUCCACCCCGUAAACGUUGGGAACUAGUUGUGGGGUCCAUUCCACGGAUUCCGUGACGCAGCUAACGCAUUAAGUUCCCCGCCUGGGGAGUACGGCCGCAAGGCUAAAACUCAAAGGAAUUGACGGGGACCCGCACAAGCGGCGGAGCAUGCGGAUUAAUUCGAUGCAACGCGAAGAACCUUACCAAGGCUUGACAUAUACGAGAACGGGCCAGAAAUGGUCAACUCUUUGGACACUCGUAAACAGGUGGUGCAUGGUUGUCGUCAGCUCGUGUCGUGAGAUGUUGGGUUAAGUCCCGCAACGAGCGCAACCCUCGUUCUAUGUUGCCAGCACGUAAUGGUGGGAACUCAUGGGAUACUGCCGGGGUCAACUCGGAGGAAGGUGGGGAUGACGUCAAAUCAUCAUGCCCCUUAUGUCUUGGGCUUCACGCAUGCUACAAUGGCCGGUACAAAGGGCUGCAAUACCGCAAGGUGGAGCGAAUCCCAAAAAGCCGGUCCCAGUUCGGAUUGAGGUCUGCAACUCGACCUCAUGAAGUCGGAGUCGCUAGUAAUCGCAGAUCAGCAACGCUGCGGUGAAUACGUUCCCGGGUCUUGUACACACCGCCCGUCAAGUCAUGAAAGUCGGUAACACCUGAAGCCGGUUGCCCAACCCUUGUGGAGGGAGCCGUCGAAGGUGG
rnacentral:rRNA from 1 species